rnacentral:antisense_RNA from 1 species
CACCCGAUGUGGCAAGCGACAGGGGCGUGGGCUGGGAUUGGAACAGGGGCCAGCCAUGCGCACUUCGGGGAUGCCGGGCCGGUAGUCGGGGGACUACCGGCUCUUUUUUU